rnacentral:rRNA from 1 species
GACGAACGCUGGCGGCGUGCUUAACACAUGCAAGUCGAACGCUGAAGCUCAGCUUUUGUUGGGUGGAUGAGUGGCGAACGGGUGAGUAACACGUGAGUAACCUGCCCCCUUCUUUGGGAUAACGCCCGGAAACGGGUGCUAAUACUGGAUAUUCACUGGUCUUCGCAUGGGGGUUGGUGGAAAGGGUUUUUCUGGUGGGGGAUGGGCUCGCGGCCUAUCAGCUUGUUGGUGGGGUGAUGGCCUACCAAGGCUUUGACGGGUAGCCGGCCUGAGAGGGUGACCGGUCACAUUGGGACUGAGAUACGGCCCAGACUCCUACGGGAGGCAGCAGUGGGGAAUAUUGCACAAUGGGCGCAAGCCUGAUGCAGCGACGCAGCGUGAGGGAUGGAGGCCUUCGGGUUGUGAACCUCUUUCGCUCAUGGUCAAGCCGCAACAAUGGUUGUGGUGAGGGUAGUGGGUAAAGAAGCGCCGGCUAACUACGUG